rnacentral:rRNA from 1 species
GAUCAUGGCUCAGGAUGAACGCUGGCGGCGUGCUUAACACAUGCAAGUCGAACGGGAUCCAAGGAGCGUUUUUCGUUUUUUGGUGAGAGUGGCGAACGGGUGAGUAACACGUGAGUAACCUGUCCUUUUCUUUGGGAUAAGCUCCUGAAAGGGUGUUUAAUACCUUAUGUUCUGUCUGCCUCGCAUGGGGUGGGUGGGAAAGAUUUUUUCGGUGAAGGGUGGGCUCGCGGUCUAUCAGCUUGUCGGUGGGGUGAUGGCUU